rnacentral:rRNA from 1 species
AAUGAACGUUGGCGGCGUGGAUUAGGCAUGCAAGUCGAGCGCUCAUCAGCAAUGGUGGGAGCGGCGAACGGCGUAGUAAGACGUAGGAACGUACCCUCGGGACGGGGAUAGCUACGGGAAACUGUAGGUAAUACCCGAUAAUCUCUGCGGAGCAAAGGUGUGAUUCCGCCUGGGGAGCGGCUUACGCGAUAUUAGCUAGUUGGUGGGGUAAUGGCCUACCAAGGCGAUGAGGUCUAGGGGGUGUGAGAGCAUGGCCCCCACGACCGGAACUGAGAUACUGUCCGGACACCUACGGGUGGCUGCAGUCGAGAAUCUUCCGCAAUGGGCGAAAGUCUGACGGAGCGACGCCGCGUGCGGGAUGAAGGCCCUUGGGUUGUAAACCGCUGUCAGAGGGGAUGAAAUCUUCGGAGGUACUCCUCCGAAGUUGACAGAGCCUCAAAGGAAGCACGGGCUAAGUACGUGCCAGCAGCCGCCGUAAAAC